GAGUUUGAUCGUGGCUCAGAGCGAACGCUGGCGGCAGGCCUAACACAUGCAAGUCGAGCGCCCGUAGCAAUACGGGAGCGGCAGACGGGAGAGUAACACGUGGGAACGCGCCCUUCGGUUCGGAAUAACUCAGGGAAACUUGAGCUAAUACCGGAUACGCCCUUACGGGGAAAGAUUUAUUGCCGAAGGAACGGCCCGCGUCCGAUUAGCUUGUUGGUGAGGUAAUGGCUCACCAAGGCGACGAUCGGUAGCUGGUCUGAGAGGAUGACCAGCCUCACUGGGACUGAGACACGGCCCAGACUCCUACGGGAGGCAGCAGUGGGGGAAUAUUGGACAAUGGGCGCAAGCCUGAUCCAGCCAUGCCGCGUGGAUGAUGAAGGCCCUAGGGUUGUAAAGUCCUUUUAACGGGGAAGAUAAUGACGUACCCGUAGAAUAAGCCCGGCUAACUUCGUGCCAGCAGCCGCUGU
rnacentral:rRNA from 1 species